rnacentral:misc_RNA from 1 species
ACAGGAGCAAACAAUCUACAACCUUGUGAAAUACAUAUGAUUAAAUAUAUAUGUGACUGAUGAUUUUAUCUCAGUCCCUUAGUUAUUUAAUUUUUCGUAGAAAUGCUGAUGGCCGUAUGGUUUCUGUUUGUCACUAGGUCACAAAAUUUGGAAAACUACUGUGAAUCAACUCUUUGUACCUAAUGAGGCUGAAACUGAGAAAGGAAAUAUGUGAUGUUGGUCUCUGAAA